UCGGCCUCCCAAAGUGCUGGGAUUACAGGCGUGAGCCACUGUGCCCGGCCAGAAGUGAUUGCUUUCUAAAGGUAGAUUACUGGCCAGAGUUUUUGAGUUACAAGAGCCACUCCAGAGAUUUCUUUUAGAAAAACAGUCACCACUGGCAACACAUUUCAGUGACACAGAAUGGCUCACAAAACUUGCUUACUUAUGUAACAUAUUCAACCUGCUCAAUGAAGUCAAUCUGUUGUCACUUCAAGGGAGAAUGACAACGGUGUUCAAGUCAACAGAUAAAAGUGGCUGCAUUCAAAGCCAAACUAGUAUUAUGAGGGCAAUGCAUAAACAUUGGGAUUUCUGACAUGUUUCAAACAUUAGCAGAAAUCUUGAAACAGACUGAGCCAGGGCCUUCUUUCUCCCAGCUGGUACAUGGAUCACCUAUCUCAGCUUUUUAAAGAAUCUGAGCAUUAAUUCCCAACCAUAAAAAAACCCGAACUGGGAAGAAAUGGAUAGCGACCCACUUGUAAAUUGCCAGGUGAAUCAACUUUGUCCACACUAGAAGAGAAUCAACUGCUUGAGACUGCAAAUGACAGUGGUCUUAAAAGUAUGUUUGAGACAACUUCAAGUCUCCAUACAUUUUGGAUUAGAGUCAAGGCAGAAUAUCCUGAGAUUGCCACAAAAGCACUGAAAAGCCUGCUUCCAUUUCCAACAUCAUAUCUUUGUGAAGCAGGGUUUUCUGCAAUGAUAGCGACCAAAAUGAGAUUACAGAGUAGACUGGACAUAAUCAACAAACUUUGGGUGUCACUGACUCCCAACACUCCCAGAUGAGACCGUCUAGUUGUGGAAAACAAGCUCCGGGCUCCCACUGAUUCUACAUUAUGGUCUGUGGAGAAAUUGUCUUCCUCAAAACCAGACCCUGGUGCCAAAAAGGUUAGGGACUUCUGCUAUACACUCUGAAGUUAUCCUUCAAGAGCGAAAGAGAAAGACUUCCACAGACAAAAAUUGAAGGAUUUUUGUGGCCAGUAUAUCUGCUUUGCAAGAAAUGUUAAAAGCCUUCAGAGAGAAGGGAAAUGACACAGGUCAGAAACUCACAUCUAGACAAAGAAAGCAAGAGCAUCGGAAAAGGAAUAAGUGAAGGUGGAGUAGGAGGGAGCAUAACCUGGCGUGAACUGAAAGUCUAUAAAGAAGGAAGUGCACUUCUCAAGGAAGAGCACCCAAAGGGCAGAAGAAGUAUUGAAGGGAAAUAAAGGCCUCAUCUGCUAGAAGAGAAUCCUUAAGUCCCAAAGAUGCACUAUAGAUGACAGAAUGCACUGUCGUGGCUAGUCCAGUUCAUCACUGGCCUAUAGUACACAAUUAACAAAAAGAGGAUGAGUAGCUAGAACACCCUAGGGAUAUUUAUCAGCCUUGAAAAAAAUCCAAAAGUAUUUCCAACAGCAAAAACAGGUACUGUAAUUAGCAUACUGUAAUAGUAAUUAUGGCAGUGGUUCCUUUCCUGUAUCAUGAUAAGUUGGGUCUUAUUCAUUUGUGCCCUGAUACUCAGCACAGCACCUGACAAUGUUUAUUAACUACUGACUGAUAUGAAAAUUUGGAGAUUUCUACAGAAGGUUACCAUUUUGUUAGCAAUGAUAUGUGUUAACAGUAAGAAAUAUCUACACUUAAAAGAUUAUAGCUCAAAGAUCAGUAUGCA
rnacentral:lncRNA from 1 species